rfam:Triticum urartu cultivar G1812 contig698105, whole genome shotgun sequence.
UACAUACUCCCUUCGUUCGGAAUUACUUGUCCAAGAAAUGAAUGUAUCUAGAUGAAUUUAGUUGUAGAUACAUCCAUUUUUGUGACAAGUAAUUCCGAGUGGAGGGAGUACUAC